rnacentral:rRNA from 1 species
CCUACGGGUGGCAGCAGUGAGGAAUAUUGGUCAAUGGGCGAGAGCCUGAACCCGCCAAGUCGCGUGAAGGAUGACGGCCCUACGGGUUGUAAACUUCUUUUGUCCGGGAGCAAUUGAGUCCGCGUGUGGUCUUAGCGAGCGUACCUGAAGAAAAAGCAUCGGCUAACUCCGUGCCAGCAGCCGCGGUAAUACGGAGGAUGCGAGCGUUAUCCGGAUUUAUUGGGUUUAAAGGGUGCGUAGGCGGAAUAUCAAGUCAGCGGUAAAAAUUCGGGGCUCAACCCCGUCGUGCCGUUGAAACUGAUGUUCUUGAGUGGGCGAGAAGUAUGUGGAAUGCGCAGUGUAGCGGUGAAAUGCUUAGAUAUUGCGCAGAACUCCGAUUGCGAAGGCAGCAUACCGGCGGCGAUCUGACGCUGAGGCACGAAAGCGUGGGUAUCGAACAGGAUUAGAUACCCUGGUAGUC